AUUGAACGCUGGCGGCAUGCCUUACACAUGCAAGUCGAACGGUAACAGGUCUUCGGAUGCUGACGAGUGGCGAACGGGUGAGUAAUACAUCGGAACGUGCCUAGUAGUGGGGGAUAACUACUCGAAAGAGUGGCUAAUACCGCAUGAGAUCUACGGAUGAAAGCAGGGGAUCGCAAGACCUUGUGCUACUAGAGCGGCCGAUGGCAGAUUAGGUAGUUGGUGGGAUAAAAGCUUACCAAGCCGACGAUCUGUAGCUGGUCUGAGAGGACGAUCAGCCCAACUGUGAAGGAGAGACGGCCCAGACUCCUACGGGAGGCAGCAGUGGGGAAUUUUGGACAAUGGGCGAAAGCCUGAUCCAGCAAUGCCGCGUGCAGGAUGAAGGCCUUCGGGUUGUAAACUGCUUUUGUACGGAACGAAAAGCCCCGGGUUAAUACCCUGGGGUCAUGACGGUACCGUAAGAAUAAGCACCGGCUAACUACGUGCCAGCAGCCGCCGCCG
rnacentral:rRNA from 1 species